ACGUAGCCACGCCCCCAACACAGGUAAACCCAUGUAGCUCCACCCACACGUAGCCCCGCCCCCAACACAGGUAAACCCAUGUAGCACCUCCCACACAUAGCCCCGCCCCCCACACAGGUUAACCAAUGGCGGAGGUUCUCUAACAAGGUAUCCUCCACCAGGGCGGGCCCCCAGCCGGCCUCCAGGGAGACCCCCGUCUCCUCAAGGGAGACCCCCGUCUCCUGCAGCCUCUCCCCAAGCUCGGAGGACUCCGGGAUGGAUGGGAUGGAUGACCCGCCACCCCGUGGGCCCCCGGAGGAGCCGGAGAGCGCGGUGGAGCGGGAGAUCCGCCUGACGCUGGACCGAGAGGAGCGCCACCGCAGGGAGCGGGGACGGCUGGCCCAGGGCCCCGCGGCCCCCCGACCAAUCAGUCUUCAGACCGGGCGAUCGCCCCCCCGCCCCCCAGCCUGCCGCACCCCCAACCUCGCCAUCUCCCCCAUGCCCGCCCCCCUCCCCUUCUCCCCCACAACCGCCCCCCUCCCCUUCUCUGUCUCCCCCGCCCCCCUCCCCUUCUCCGUCUCCCCCUCCUCCCUCCAGCGCUCCAUCUGCCACGAGUUGACCGCCAACAACGUCAUCAUCCUGGAGCCAGACUCCGCCCACUCCAGGUCCCGCCUCCUCUCCCCGGGGGGCUUCAGCGAUUGGUCGCUGAGGCCCUCUACCGACGUCAUCGUCGUGGAAACGGCUAACCUCAUCAUCCGCAGCGCCUCCGAGUUCUGCCUCAGCUCCAUCCCCGUCGCUACGGAGACCCAGGAGUCCACCUUCUCCUCCAACCCCUUCUUCAAGCUGCGCUCCCUCAGCAGCCAGUCGCUGGUGGAGCAGGAGAUACGGGUGGUGAGGCAGCGGGAGGAGGAGUGGAGGAGGAGGAGAGGAGGAGGAGGAGGGGAGUGGAGGGGAGGGAGGGAGAAGGAGAGGUUUGACACGGUGCUGGUGUCCCCCGGGCUGAACGACAACAUCACCUUCAACGGUACGACAUCACUCAGAACUUAACAAUGACAUCACUCAGAACUUAACUAUGACAUCACUCAGAACUUAACUACGACAUCACUCAGAACUUAACUAUGAAAUAACUCAGAACUCAACUAUGACAUGACUCAGAAAUUAACUAUGAAAUCAUUCAGAACUUAACUACGACAUCACUCAGAAAUUAACUAUGAAAUCGAUCAGAACUCAACUAUGACAUCACUCAGAACUUAAUUAUGACAUUAAUCAGAACUUAACUACGACAUCACUCAGAACUUAACCAUGACAUCACUCAGAACCUCAAGACUUACUACGACAUCACUCAGAACUUAACUACGACAUCAUUCAAAACUUCAAGACUUAACUAUGAAAUCAUUCAGAACCUCAAGACUUAACCACGACAUCACUCAGACCUUAACUAUGACAUCACUCAGAACCUCAAGACUUAACCACGACAUCACUAAGACCUUAACUAUGACAUCACUCAGAACCUCAAGACUUAACAAUGACAUCAGUCAGAACCUCAAAACUUAACCACGACAUCACUUAGAACUUAUGCCAUCUUCAAAACUUUAGUUUUGAACGAGUUUCGAAAGUUCGGACCUUAAGCUUGGAGGAAAGCGCUUUGAAAACAAUGGUAGUACUAAGAGGUGCCGAACUUGCUGAAUGAACUUAACAUCCAUUCUAACAUUUGCAUUACGAUAUAUUAUAGCUUACAAUUAUAAACAUCACCUGAUAAUUCUCGCUCAUAUUCAACCAUCGCAAGCAGUUCUAAAAACUGAAAAUCUGUUCUCUGUGAAUACAGCAAAGAAGCGCAAAGAGGCCCCUGCUUUCCGGAAGAAGGGAUGUUUUAAGUCAUAGCCUACGAACUUCUGAGGGGGGUUUCCUGAACCCUCUUAUUUCGGAAGAAGGGAUGUGUGCUAGAUGGGUGCUUGAUAGAUCAGUCUACCAGCCUACUCAGUGGACUGUAGCAAACGUCGCUCAUCUAACCGUCACACAUCUAGGUGGACAUGCCCACCUGUGAUGUCACAAUGCUGCACAUUUUGUAAACGGCUUGUAAUGGCUAAUCACACUCACACCUGGUGGUAUGAUAGGUCCCCUUUAUCUAUGACAUCACUAAGAACCUCAAGACUCAGAAGAGACUUAACUACACUGAGACUAAGUCUCUGUGAACCCACCUCUGGUUUCCAGCUCUGACUAAAUAGCUUAUUCUGCUUUCUUUACAUCCAUCUGGUUGGUUUGCUCCAGUGAUAGAGGUUCCAGACAGAUGUGUCUCGUCUCCAUCCUCCCCCUCCAGAACCCGCAAAAUGGAACGGUCCAGCAUGUCUUGUGACCACAAGGUAGGUCUCAUUAUGGCACAUGUGACACAUAUAGAAAGAUUGACAAAAUAACGUAUUUAGCUAAUGCUCAGACACUAAACUAUCGCUAAUACAUUCAGUUAAUACAUUCAGGUAAUACUCAGAUAUGAAGCUACCGCUAAUACAUUCAGCUAAUAGUCAGACAUGAAUCUAUCCCAAAUACAUUCAGCUAAUGCUCUGACAUGAAGCUAUCUAACCCAUUCAGCUAAUGUUGAGAGAUGAGGCUAUCGCUAACGCAUUCAGCAAAUGCUGAGACAUGAAGCUAUCGCUAACUCAUUCAGAUAAUUCUGAGAAAUGAAACUCUCACUAACGCAUUCUGCUAAUGCUAACACCAGUGCUAAUAACUUUACCCACGAAGUGAUCAUGAGCCAAUUUACUGGUGGUUUCUGAAUGUUUGUUGUAUCGUCAGUAAAGAUCCUCUCUUUGUGUAUUUCACUCACUCAUUUCACUCACUCAUCAUCAUUGCUCUGAGCUCAUGGAUGUUUUAACCAAUCAGAUGCCAGGUGUUAUUCUAUUGGUUUAGACUGGUCAUUCUAAUCAUUGAUACAGCUCUUCAUCUACUGUGCAUCCCUCCCUUUCUCUAAUGCUCACUACGAAUCUGUCACCCAUCACCAUCACCCAUCACCACCCAUAACCAUCCAUCAUCAACCAUCAUCAUCACCCAUCAUCACCCAUCCCCAUCCUCAUCACCAUCACCAUCACCAAUCACCAUCAACAUCAACAUCACCAUCACCCAUCACCCAAUCAUGAUCCAUCUGUCAAAUGGAUUCCAGUGUUUCAGAUGAGUGUCCCCUCCCCCCUCCCCCCAGUUCCCCCCUGCCCUGUCUACAUUGCCACGGCGACAGAAUGCCAUGGCACAGCGAUGGGAGGCCAACCUGUUAGCCAAUCAGAAAAAGGAAUGAACCUGGAGGGCCAAUAGGAAGCAAAGGGAGGAGCCAGAGGGAGGAGCCAGAGGGAGGAGCCUGCUCUUUCUCUCUGAGCCUCGGUUUGGAAGAGAGAAAAGAUGAUCCUUUAAAGAAUUAGUUGAAUGCAAUGAGGCCACAAACCAGAACCCAGAAACACAGGUUUAUUUAGGUACUUUAGCUCGGAGAUGACAAUCUGGAAGACCUCCGCCCCUCUGGCACCCACUGUGGUGACAGAAAGCAGCACCCCGCUACGGGUCGACUGCGGUGGGUCCGCUCCACAUCUCUGGACCAACCGCUGCCGGGCGGCGGGAUCACUUGGCUGACAUGGCCACCUGUGAUCUGAGGCAGGAAGCCCUGCCCCCCACGAGCUCAUCACCGUGGUAACACUCCCUUCUAGAGAGACACUUAACACACGUUCACUUAAACUACAUUCCUUGGAGGUCUUCCAGAUUGCCACUUAAAGUCUUGGGCUUUUGGUAUUAAAAAUGGCUUUACAGUGUCUAUGAAACUAACCUUAACUCUCUCCCACCUCCCACUUACCUUAACUCUCUCCCACCUCCCACUUACCUUAACUCUCUCCCACCAUCACACUUACCUUAACUCCAACCCUCACACUUACCUUAACUCUCUCAACCCCUCACACUUACCUGAACUCCCUCCCACCCUUACACAUACCUUAACUCUCUCCACCCCUCACACUUACCUGAACUCCCUCCCACCCUCACACUUACCUUAACUCCCUCCUACCCUCACACUUAACUGAACUCCCUCCCACCCUGUCCAAGGGGCUGACCCAGUACUUAAGUCUCGACCCUAAAGCCUUUUUUUAUAAGGAGACGUAUAGGGGCCAUUUUGUUUUAAUCACAACUUAUAGAGCACGUCUCUAAGGGGACGUAUAGGGCCCAUUUGGUUUUAAUCACACUUUAUAGCACGUCUCUAAGGGGACGUAUAUGGGGCCACUUUGGCCUGUUGUGUCCGGGUAUUUUUGUACAUCCAUGACAUGAGUGAUCAUAUAAACGAUGACGUAUUGAGUGUAAAUAGCUGCUAAGGUUGGACUGAUUAAGAAAAAGACACUCACUAAAUAUGGGCUGAACCAUUUGCAAUUAAUAACCUUCAGAUUAAUAACUUAAUCCUGAUGAUUAUUUCUGUCUGGACUACUUCUUUGUACCCGGAAGUCAUUCCUGUUGUAAAAGGAUUUAAAUGAGCCAUAAACGUACAUUAACAUCAACGUACACUAAUAGGUCCUGGGUCUCGCUGUCAAUUCUGGUGAGGAGGUGUGUCCUGGGGAAGGAAUCUGUUGGGUUCCCUCUGGCUUUUGCUUUUCCAAGUACAAGUCAAUCAAAUGUAAUCUUAUUUGCUUUGCUCUAGUUUUCUGUGGCUGUUUUUCGUCCUUAAAAUCAAAUGGAGCAUUCCCAAGUAAAUACUUGAUUGUCUUUUUAAGAUUUAUAUAUAUUUUUAUGUCCUGCCUUGAAGAGAUUUUAUGGAGCUGUACAUGGAGGAUGUUAUGAUGAUAUAUAAAGCAAAGAUAUAUAAACUAUAAUAUUCAUAUUGACGUAUACAAUCAAAGAAACGUACAUAUUGUUUAAGUCAUAUAUUUAACAGUACAACUUUAUUUGAACUGCAUCCAGCCAUGUUUAUCAGCAGGUGACAGGUUUAAUGAACUUUAGUUUAUGUUAAUGUCACACGUCUCCUGCUGCUGGUCUUAUGCUGACCUUCAGCUUAGGACCAUGCUGAAGAGGCUCUUCACACCUGAUCUCUGCUCCUGUUUGCCUGGGAUUUCUGUCUACAUUUUUGAUGUCAAGUUUUGUUUCAACACAAAUUAAAGACUAUUGACUGAGUUAUAUACAUUUGGCGAAUGAAUAAAGUCUGAGCAUUAUUACUGUAGCUUUAGAAUUUCCAAUCCUUGGUAUAUCCGUA
rnacentral:lncRNA from 1 species